GACGAACGCUGGCGGCGUGCCUCACACAUGCAAGUAGGACGCAGUUGCGAACGGGUGAGUAACGCGUCGGUAACUACCUAUUAGAGGGGGAUAACUACUGUAAACGAUAGCUAAUACUGCAUACUUGUAGAUGUACCUGCGUUGUAUUAGCUAGUAGGUAGGGUAAUGGUCUACCUAGGAAACCUAAGCUAAUCGACCGUGGAGGGGGAUCGGCCAACCUGGGACAGUGACACUGCCCAGAAUCCUACGGGGGGCAGCAAUAGGGAAUCAUCGGAAAUGGGGCGAAACCUGACGGAGCAAAGCCGGGGGAGAGGAGAAGGGUUUCGGGGCGUAAAGCUCUUUUGAUAAGGAAGCGGGACUUACCCAGGAAGGGACGGCUAACUACGUGCCAGCAGCCGCGGUAAUUC
rnacentral:rRNA from 1 species